GGGUUGGCUCAGUGGUUAGAGCGUGGGUCUCGUAACCGAAAGGACGCCGGAUCCAAUCCCGCUAGAGCUCA
rnacentral:tRNA from 1 species